UGGCUCAUAGCUCAACUGGCAGAGCAGCCGGCUCUUACCCGGCAGGUUGGGGGUUCGACGCCCUCUGGGCCAACCA
rnacentral:tRNA from 1 species